UGCGGCCCCGCCGCUCCCCGUCGUCCAGCGCAACCCCGGCGCGACCCCCGCCCCCCGGCCGGGGCAGCCGCCUGCCCGUCCGGGCCACGUGACCCAGGCGGCGGUGUAGACCGGCCCAGCGUCCCGGGCCCUGCGCAUGAUGCGCCCAGGCACUGUCUUCAUGAGUCCACAGGUCUCAAACUCCAGCAUCUCAGAAUGAAAGCACUCACAGGUGCUCACAAGAGGCUGGGCUGCCAGGGGAAGCUCCGACCUGAAGAUUUGAACUAAUGAGGGACUGUAAAGGCCAAGACCUUGUUCUUGCCAUUUUAGAGAUUCCGAAUAUAAUCCACAAAGUUAGAGAUUA